UUCAAACAGCUGUAAAAAUGAUUUAUUUUUAUUGAAAAUAUAUUUUACGGUGAUUUAGAUGAUACAAUAAUUCCCUACAAUAUUCAGUGCUUGAUCUCUCACAAAAUCUGACAUUGAGCAAACAGUGUAGAAUUUUUGCAACCAGGAAAUGACAGAGCGAUUCCACUAGAUAACACAGCCAUAAAGUCAAAACAGCUUUCCCAUUUUGACAACAGAUGCCACUCCGGCAAGAGAAAUCAAUAGGCAAAUAUCACAGCCAAUCACAACACUGGCAGAUAAGUUAUAUUGUUAAACACUACAAUUCCAAUAUUACUGCAGAUAUAUUAUCGACAUUUUUGGAAAUUAGCACAAAUGAAUUUWAAAAAAUUGUAACACCUUUUAUGUUUAGGUUUAAAAUCAGAUUAAAUAGGCAGGGUUAAUGACUUUGGCUGUGGUAACUGGWGACCACCUAUUUUUGAGCACAGAAGAGGAAAGGGUGAACGAUGGCUGACAAUAAAGAGGUAAGUUUGAUCGUUUUUCAGUAGAGAAACUAAUAAACCAACUAGCUUAGCUAAUCAGCUAUCAUUUCAAUAUUGAAGUAGGUAGUUAUUUGAUAUUCUGUUUUAAAAGCAGGUUAUUAGGUUAACGAUAGUAGGUAGGAAGCUAACGUUUAACUKUGUGGUUUAACCAAAGAUGGUUUCGUUUUCUAUACCGUCUCUGGUUUAACUAAGAGCAUUGUAAGUAAGUCAACGAGGGGUUUAGUAGAGGAAGAGGACUUGGAAGAGUAGUAUGACUGGGAAGGAGUGGCAGAAGAGCGGGGAGAGGCAUGGUGAGAACAGACCACUGAAGUAUAAGAACAGACAGUGAGGACUCACUGUGGAAGAGGGCUAUGAUUGAGGAGGGGAAGUCGAGAGGUCAGGCUCCGAACCAAAUAAUAGCUAAUAUUGUAAAAUGCUAAGCGCAUACUUUAAAAUGAUUUGAAUAGAUUUGAUCACUUUUAAUCUGUCAGCUUUUGUGCAGUUACAAUAAAUGAGAAUGACGUCAAAAACAAUUCUCUCUCCAUACCUCUUUCCAUGCAGGUCCACUGUCACUAAUAUGUGGUGGUGAAGUCCCAAUGGGCACAGACGUCAAUUCAACGUCUAUUCCACGUUGGUUCAGCGUAAUUUAAUUGAAAUGACGUGGAAACAACGUUGAUUAAACCAGUGUGUGCCAAGUGGGGUUGUUCUUUGCUCAGCUGACAGACCAGAGAUACAGGAGCCCAUUCGGUUCCAAGUUGCUUACCUUGGCUCUCCUCUACGUACAGCAUUCUGGGGACUUCUAGCAGUUGUUCUCAGGAGACGGUCAGUGUGCGUAGAGAGAACCUUGUUUGACCAGGUGGAGUCAGGCUUCUACAUCAUCGCCCUGGACCACUACACCAACAAGGCAGAGGACACCAACUUUGGACCAAUGGCUCUGGCUUGCUGAUAACAUCUGAUCUGAUGAGACUCCCGAUGCGAUUUGACUUCUGUAUUACUGACUGGWUUCAAUAAAACUUCUUUUGAGAUUCUGUAAUUGAUAGACAGUGGUAGUUCCCAAUCAGACAAUUACUAUAAAACAAAUCUGUUUUCCUCAGUGCAAUGUUUGGUGAAUGCAUGGCAUUGUUUUGUUCUCAGUCCUCCUUUUGAAUGCUGUGUGUACUGAUUCAGUUCUAAACGACCUUUGAGUCCAUCCUCACCUCUUCCAUUACUGCAAUGAAUUGUCCGGUCUGCUGAGAGGGUCAUUGGGUACCACCUGCUCUCCAUCGCYGUACUGCAUAACUCCAAYGCAAGGAAGCAUGCAGGAAAGAUCAUCGCUGACCUCUUCCACCCCCUCUGGCAAACGGUUCAGGUCAAUCACGAUCAAAAUCUCCCUCCACCUGAACCAUUUCAACCGGCCACCUGGUUCACAAUGAUCCUCUUAUCCGCAUGGACUUUGCACUAUUCAUCCACCGACUAUGCACCCUGCACUAUUCAUCCACCGACUAUGCACCCUGCACUAUUCAUCCACCGACUAUGCACCCUGCAUUAUUCAUCCACCGACUAUGCACCCUGCACUAUUCAUCCCAGACCUGCACGACUCUUACAUGCAUCAUUUAGGAUGUAGCUUAUAGUUCAGUCUGUAGUUUUUUAGCUUAGUGUUCAUACUGUAUGUGGAUCUGUGGAAAUMCUGUGUGUAUAAUGUCUMUAUAUUAUGUUUAUUGUGGUAGCACCGUUUCACAGUUUGAGGAAGCACAUUUAUAAUA